rnacentral:rRNA from 1 species
AUGGCACCCAUGAGAUUUUCUGAUUUCUCGGCCGAAGAUCUGAUUAACUGCACACACAUGCUAUCUUUACUUUAUAGUGGUGUAUAUUCAUAUGAAAAGAUUUAUUUGUCCAUGAAAGUAGUUUUUCUUGCUGCCCAUGGGAUUGAUGGCUUAAAUAUUGACUCCCGUUGGCCUUAUGCUUUGACGAAUUCUACUGUGGAUUUAGAGGCAACUAAAAGAUGUAUGGACUUCAUGCUCCGCUGCUCUGAAGAUCUGGGCCGCGUUAGCGCGUUGGCACGGUUGCCAGGCCCUCAACCCCGCUGGAUGGAGCACGGCCCCCUCUCAUCAAGCCAGGAUCAAGCAGAUUGCCCAGAAAGCACAGCCGGGUGUGAAAGACAAGCGGUCCGAUCAACGAUCAUCCUGGUCUGUUGGGAGAUCUGGCAGGAGAGAAACAACUGCACUUUCCGCAGCAAGGAAGCAAACCCAACUGAAGUCACUGCAAAAAUUCAGGCCACCAUCGAGCUCUGGCGCCUUGCAGGAGCAAAACACUUUUGA